AUUCUUUGUGACUCUUUGCGGAUCGUGUGUUUUCUAGGCAGUGUCAGAGGAAGGGGCAAGUGUGCUUGUUCACUGUUCUGAUGGCUGGGACAGGACCGCUCAGGUGUGCUCGGUGGCAAGCCUGCUGCUGGACCCUCACUACCGGACUCUGAAGGGCUUCAUGAUAUGGCAAUCUAGAUGGUGACCCAAAAGAAAUCUCUCCAGUUAUUGACCAGUUCAUUGAGUGUGUUUGGCAGUUAAUGGAACAAUUUCCCUGUGCCUUUGAGUUCAAUGAGAGGUUUUUGAUUCACAUUCAACAUCACAUUUAUUCCUGCCAGUUUGGAAACUUCCUAUGUAACAGCCAAAAGGAGAGACGAGAACUCAAGAUUCAAGAAAGAACAUACUCAUUAUGGGCUCACCUGUGGAAGAAUCGGGCCGACUACCUGAAUCCUCUGUUUAGAGCUGAUCACAGCCAGACUCAGGGAACCCUUCAUCUCCCUACAACACCAUGUAACUUCAUGUACAAGUUUUGGAGUGGAAUGUAUAACCGCUUUGAAAAGGGGAUGCAGCCCCGACAGUCAGUUACAGAUUACCUAAUGGCAGUG
rnacentral:lncRNA from 1 species